GUCUUUCUUUCAACUGGGCUUGAAUCACAGCAUUGCAUACCCUAAGAAAACAUCAUGAGGUAUAUAAAGUUCCCAUACUCCCAUUAAGUGGCCUGGUUUUCGUCUUUAAGUAUGGUGGGGCUGGUAGGAGUAGAACACGGGAUGAUGUAUCACUUCUCCUGGGUUUCUCAACCUCAGCACGACUGACAUUUGGAUGGGAUCAUUGUUUGUGGGGUCUGUCCUGUGCCUUGUAGGAUAUUUGGCGGCAUCCCUGGCUUCUACCCACUAGAUGUCAGUAGCACGUAUCAUCCCUCCUGCCUCCCCAUUGUGACAACCCAAAAUGUAGGCAGACAUUGCCAAGUGUCCUCUAGGGGACAAAAUCCCUCUCCCAUUGAGAACCACUGCUUUAAGAGAAGAUUACCCAAAGUCUGUGCAAGGCUUUUGGAAUACUCUUGGAAGGAUUUUUAUCAUACUCUUGGAAGAAGGAAGUAGUGCUAUCAUGCUCAAAGCAUGGUCUGAGAGCCUAUAAGACGUGCCAGCUAAUGAAACUCUCCCCUGGGGUGUUUUCGUAACUCAUCCUUAAGGCUCGUAUAUCUGUUGAGUUUCUUGGUUGCAAGUUACAGAAAACCCAAUCCAAAAUGGUCUAAGCCAGAAAAUGAAUUUUUUGGCUGUGGUAACUGAAGAGUCCGACACAGUGCUAACUUUAGGCACAGCUGGAUCCAGGUGCUUAAGCAGUGUUAUCAAGAAACAAGAAUUUUUCCAAAUCUUUGCUCUGAUUUCCUCAUUAUUGAUAUCAUUCUCAGACAGGCUCUUCCCAUGUGGCAGUGAGAAAGCUGCCAGCAGCUCCGGCCUACUCCUCACUAGAACAGAUCUGGUGGAAAGGGAAAGCUUCUCUUCCCUCAUGGUUUGAAUGCAAGUCCUGGAUCUGAUUCCCAUUGGCCUGGGAUACUACGCUAUUCUCAUUAGCUGUGCCGGGUUCACACGCCUGUCCCUGGAGCCUGGGGAGGAGCCAACACCAACGGAACCAUUUGGUGGGGAACAGGAGAGGAAUGGUUCUUUAGAGGCAAACGGGGCAGUUACUUGAAGAGAGGUCAGCGGAUGCUGGUCAGACAAGCACCUCUAUUGCCUCAUUCAUAAAAAUAACUAAACGACAGCCAAUAACGGCAGCUCCCACUUGUCGAACAUGAAUUCUGUACCAGACCCUACCUAUACUGCGUGAUCGCUAAUCACCACCAGCAUCCUGAGAGGCAGCUGUUGUCAACCUAUUUUACAGAUGGAAUCACAGAGUGGCCAAGAGUGAGGACGUUGACACUACACAGACCUGGGGCAGACCCGGCCCUGCUGCUGAGUGGUUGACUGGCCCCAGUUUCUCCACCUGGGAAACAGGCGGCCUUCUCUCUCUCUACGUCAUCAAGUCAGUGCAGAGCGCAUGGAGCAGCAACGCCCUGCCCAGCUCUGGGCUGCCCGCUGCGUGCUGAGGAUCCAGAGACAAACCAGCCAUGCUCCUGGCUGAGCGGAAGGUCCUCCCGAGCCUGCACAGUCUGAACUUGCUGAGCAGCCUGAGCUGGCGAAGAUGCCCUCCUUUAGAGGAGCGUGCAGACUUGAUAAGGGAAACAGAUGGGCCAACAGAUAAUUCCCAGCAGAGGUGUGUUCAAACAUGAGCCCUGGGGACUAGGUACUAAGCAGAUGGAGGAACAGAGAUGUAAGUAACUUACCCAAGAUCACACAGCCAGCAGAUCUGCACCGAGGCAGUGUGUCCAGCUUUUUAUCGUCAUGGUAUCCAGGUCUACUUUGGAAACGAGGCGGCUAUGCCUCAAAAGGGAAGGGUUCCCAGAGAGAGUGAUGUUGGACGUGGGCCUUGAGGAGGAAGUAGAGAAGUUUUAGAGGUAGAGGAGGCCACAGCAAGAUGCCCCAACAGCUGAAAGUGCCUGUCACGUGCCAAGAGUGGCAAGGGGUGGAGGUUUCCUGAGAGGGGAAGUGGAGGAGAGGCCGGCAGGGCCAGACUCUGAUCCUUUCUUGAAGGAGUGGCUUGGGUAGUCCGAUUUUAAAUGAAGAAAGAGCUCUCAGCGGGGUGCAGUGGCUCACGCCUGUAAUUUCAGCACUUUGGGAGGCCAAGGCUGGUGGAUCACCUGAGGUCAGGAGUUCAAGACUAGCCUGGCCAACAUGGCGAAACCCCGUCUCUACAAAAAUACAAGAAUUAGCCAGGCAUGAUUGUGGGUGCCCGUAAUGCCAGCUACUCGGGAGGCUAAGGAGGGAGAAUCGCUUGAUCCCAGGAGGCAGAGGUUGCAGAGAGCCGAGAUGGCACCACUGCACUCCAGCCUGGGUGACAGAGUGAGAUUCCAUCUCUAAAACAACAACAAAGAAAACGAAAACAAAACAAAAAAAAGAAGGAAAAAAAAAGGAAGAGCUCCCAGGCAGCUCAGUAGAGAAUGGCUUGAGAGGUGGGGGAAGAUUAGAGGCAGGGGAAAGUGGACACCUGCUGUUUCAGCCCCCUAGCACCUGCUCUUCCCCAGGAGACAACCUCCUUUGUUCUGAGGCCUGGUGUUUUCACUGAUGCUGACUGCUUGAGGGGUGGCACAUGACUCAGGUCUGGCCAAUCAGCCUCUUCCAUCCCCCUGGCUGCAGGGACUGGCUCAGGAGGGUGCAUGUGACCAGAGGCCGACCGAUGAGACUCAGUUCUGAGAUUUUUGUUAGACUUGUUGCAGAAAAGAGACUGUCUCCUGAGGUUGCUGAGCUGGGUAUCUCCACCAGGAGCUGCAGGGGCCAUGCUGUCACCAUGUGAAGACAGGUUGCUUGACAACAAAGUUGCAUUAGUUUCCUUGGGCAGCCAUAGCAAAGUAUCACAGACUGGGGAGCUUAAACAACAGAAAUUUAUUUCCCCACAAUUCUGGAGGCUAAGUCCAAGAUCAAAGUGUCAGCAGGGUUGAUUUCUUCUGAGGCUUCUCUUCGGCUUGUAGAUGGGUGGCUGUCUUCUUCUGGUGUCUUUACAUGGUCUUCCCUCUGUAUGUGUGUGUGUCUGUGUCCCAAUCUCCUCCUUUUCUUCUUCUCCUUUUUUUUUUUUUUUCUUUUGGGAUGGAGUCUCUCACUCUGUCCCCAGGCUGGAGUGCAGUGACCUGAUCUCGGCUCACUGCAACCUUCACCUCCUGGUUCAAGUGAUUCUCCUGCCUCAGCCCCCCGAGUAGCUGGGACUACAGGCACAAGCCACCAUGCCCAGCUAAUUUUUGUAUUUUUAGUAGGGACUGGCUUUCACCUUAUUGGCCAGGCUGGUCUGGAACUCCUGACCCUGUGAUCCGCCUGCCUUGGCCUCCCAAAGUGCUGGGAUUACAGACGUGAGCCACUGUGCCCCGGCCAUACACAACUCAUAAUGGAUUAAGGUCCACCUAAUGACCUCACUUAACCUUAAUUACCUCUUUAAAGACCCUGUCAGAAAAUAUAGUUACAUCUGAAGUACCCGGGGUUAGGAUUUCAACAUACUGGAGGUGGGAGGAGCACAAUUCAGCGCAUAACAGAAGCUAACACAGAAAAAAACACAGAGAUGGGGUAAGAGACUGAGGCUUGACUUUGUUUGAGCUCCUGGAUCCAGCUGUGCCUGAAGUUGAAACUAAUACUAUCCAGGACUCUUGAGUUUCAUGAUCCAAUAAGUACCUAAAUCCCACCUCUCCUUUUUUUUCCCCUCUUGAACCUAGUUGAGUUGGAUUUCUGUCACUUACAGUUAAAAUUCCUGAGUAAUACACAGGAGAACUAGUUAACAAAUUAUUAAAAUAGCCCACCCCUAAUUUAAUCACCAUGUGCAAGGACAGUGCUUGUAUGUACACCCAGGUAUGUCUAAUUCUAAUAGCUAGAGGUAGCAAAUAUGGUAAAAAUUGAGCCAAGUUUGCACUAGCCUCUUCCAUUAAGCAGGAAUUCCCACCUUAGCUCUGAAGCCAUGUAGGACAGGGCUGGAGAAACUACUAUUCCUACCAAUGUUUCUAAUGUGUGCAGUAGGCUGGGGUGCUGGCAGGGGAAAAUUAAAAAUGUAGUUUGGGUUAAAAAAAAAAGAAAAAGAGCUUUCUAGGCCAGGCGCAGUGGCUCACGCCUGUAAUCCCAGCAUGUUGGGAGGCUGGGGCGGGUGGAUAGCUUGAAUCCAGGAGUUUGAGACCAGCCUGCGCAACGUGGUGAAACCCCGUCUCUACAGAAAAUACAAAAAUUAGCCAGGAGAGUCGCUGUGUGUCUGCAAUCCCAGCUACUUGGGAGGCUGAGGUGGGAGGAUUGCUUGAACCCAGGAGGCGAUGGUUGCAGUGAGCCGAGAUGGCGCCACUGUACUCCAGCCUGGGUGACAGAGUGAGACCCUGUCUCAAAAUCAAUCAGUCAAUCAAUCAAUCAAACAAACAAACAAACAAAAAACAGCUUUCCAGAAGGGAAAAAUCAUUUUGGGAAGCUUUGAGUAGGGGCUGUGGAGAGUGGGCUCCAGACGUCACUUCAUUGGUUGGCAGGUGCUGUUAGGGGGUGCCCAGAGGGGAGCUCGGGGGAGCGGCGGCUUUCUUCCAGCAGAUAUGGACUCGGGCAGGAGCCACUGAGCAAGUACUCCGAUGGGCUGGGCUUCCUGAGGCUUCAUGCCUGGGCUGAGCAGGGCGGGGCUGUGGUCCACGUGGUGCCCAUUGGCCUCCCAAAAGGAAGGAGCGGGGAGAACUAGAAAUGUGGCUGGAAAAAGUCAGCAUCUCCCUCCUGGGCGGGCUCCCUGGUGGUCCCGGGAGCUGGCCAUGUCUGGAGGAGGAGGCUCCUCUAAGGUGUGCAGCUGCCUUUCUCAAUGCCGCUGAGUUGGAUUGGGAUCUCUUUCAAUGAGAGUGUUUUGAGGGACCCUCAGCUCCAUGCUCUGCUGGCUUCCUCCAGGGAUGCUGAGAGGUGGCCCUUCUAGUGGUAAGAUGAGGGGCCCAUGGCCUUGUGGAGUCAGACACACUGGCAUUCACUGAAAGCUCUGUGCCUGACCUACCUGGUGACUUGGGGCAAGUGACUUCACCUGACUGAGCCUCUUUCCUUCAUCACUGGCAAAAUGGAACCAACUUCACAGCCUUCUCCUGAGGCUUAAGUGAAACCAAGCAGUCAUAAAGGGAUAGGCUUUGGAGUCCCUGGGUUUGCAUCCCAGUUUACUAACUGAGCUGGGUGGCCUUGGGCAAGUCACUCACCCUCUCUGAGCCUCAGUGUCCUACUCUGUAAAAUGAACCCACCAAUGGUACUUAUUUCCUAGGGCAAAUGUGAGGAUUGACAGAUAAAACAUGUAAACUUCAUGAAAGCAAGGGGUUUUGUUAUUGAUUUAUCCCCUCUGCAGUUCCUGGGACAUAAAGACACUAAAUAAAUGGGAUCAGCUUUUAUUGUUAUUAUGAUUCACCGUCACCCAGCACUGGUUGAGGCUGCUCUCUGUGGCAUCCUGUAGACACACUUGUAUGUGAGUUUCUGGUCAGGAUGGGGAGGACAAGACCACUGUCUCUGGCACACUUAGCAAACUCUAUCUCCAGGGAUAGAGUAAGACUCCUAUGGUGCAGGAGGGGGCAUGAGGGAAGGCUAGGAGUGCCCUCUGCACUGUUUAAGCACCUCACUUGUGUCAUUUCACUGCACCCAUACCCACGCCCCAUGAACUAGAUUCAUUUAUUACCCCAUUUGACGAUGAGGAGGCUGAGGUUCAUCAAGGUAUAGCCAUUGAGAUCUUACUGCCAGGGAGAGGUAGAGCCAGGGUUCAAACCUGAAUUUGUACUGUUCCAAAUCCCUUUUUUAAAAAUUUUUAUUUUUAUUUUUUUUUUAUUUUCCCAGGCUGGAGUGCAGUGGGCAAUUAAGGCUGACUACAGCCCCCAACUCCUGGGCCCAGACAAUCCUCCCGCUUCAGCCUCCCAAGUAGCUGGGACCACAGACGUGUGCCACAGUGUAGGCCCCUUCUUUUUAAAUAGCGUGGUGCUGUGUCCCCUGCUCCGUGCCCCUCAGGAUUCUUUAGGAAGUGGCUCCAUCGACCCACUCUCAGUUGAGCUGAAAGAGGACUCGAGGGACUCUUUAUUGGGAAAAAAUGGAGUGCAAAGCCUACUCCUGCCCCUGCCAGCACCAGCCUUCGGAGGCAAAUAAAAAGCAGUGGGCACUGGGACAGCAGCCCCAGAGGUGCACUAAAAUCCACCUGACAAAUGGCCCCUCUCCCAUGAGCCCACGAACAGCAGAGAGGAAGGUGGCCAGGGCCAAGUAGAAAGAUUUCUACAGCAUGGCCGAGUUCUCCAAGGUCAAGAGCAAGCAGAGCUGCCGCCUGUAUUCCUGAGAACUGGCCUCCUGGGGAUGUGGCCAGCCCUUUUUAAGGGAUUUGGGUCAAGGUGGGGAUUCUGACCCUCACCGCUGUGCUGGGACUGGCCUGGGAACUGGGAAGGAGGAUACACUUGGGAAAACUGCAGUGAAGAAUGCAUAAUAAUGGAAGGAAUCUCAUGGAUGAUUAUCAGGUAGCUCUCAGGAUCAAGAGGAAAGCUGGAGACGGCCUUUCGGCAGGAAGGGGGAAACUGAGGCAGAAGGCAGACCCUGCCCAGUGAUGGUCCCUUUCACAUGUCACUACUGGCACCAUCACUGUGGGACAUAUACUCCCACCAUGGGCACUACAGGCUCUGGGUCUUGCUGUGCUCCCUGGACUGUUGACUGCCUGGAAGCCUCUGGGAGUCACCUCUCGCUCUGUAGCUUCAGGUCUCUCCUCCCAGAGUCAAACUCCCCAUGGGCAGGGCUGCUGGAUAAAAUACAGGAUGCCCAGUGACAUUCUACUUUCAGAUAAUUGAAAAAAAUUUUUUAGUAGAAAAAAGUUAUUUAUCUGAAAUUCAAAUUUAACUGGAUAGCCUGUAUUUUUAUUUGCUAACUUAGCCGCCCCACUCAGAGCGCUGGGCCCUGCUCUGGUGCCUGGUGGGGAGGAACUCUGUCUCUUCCACUUCUGGGGUAAGAAUGUCAAUCUUGUUGGAUUGGAUUGAUUACAUUGUUUGGAUGGAAAAUAGAGGAAAAAGAGCACAUACAACUGCGACUCCUUAAACCUGUCCCCCUAUUUGUUUUUUUUGUUUUUUUUUUUGAGACAGGGUCUCACUCUGUCACCCAGGCUGGAGUGCAGUGUCAUGGUCAGGGUUUGCUGCAGCCUUGAAGUCCUGAGCUCAAGUGAUCCUCCUGCCUCAGCCUCCAGAGUACCUGGGAGUACAGGCGUGCGCCACCACACCCAGCUAAUUUUUGUAAUUUUUUUUUUUUUGUAGAGAUGGGGUUUCACCAUGUUGGCCAGGCUGGUCUCAAACUCCUGGGCUCAGGUGAUCUGCCCUCCUCGGCCUCCCGAAGUGCUGGGAUUACAGGUGUGAGCCACCAUGCCUGCCUGUCCCAUUUCCCCAUUUUAAAAAAGUCACCUGCCCGAUUGGUUUUCAAAGCUGCCUUCACUCAAAGAGGGCCUGGAGGGUAGGAAUGACUCAUACAGUCAUUCAUUGUCUGUGCCCGCUUUUCAUAGCACAAAAGAUAGGUCCUUCCCAUCCCGCCCAUCCUCUCCCUGCUGGUCAUCUUGUAUGCGGAGAAUCCAAGGAUCUUCUUACCAAUGAGUUCUUGCCGCUCAUGAGCAGGUGAAGGAGUGGAGCUGAAGUGGAAAUAAUCUAUGGGCUGGACUGUCUAGACAGCAUUUGCUCCUCUGGAUAGGGAGGAGAGCAGACAGAAGCGGGCUUUGGCCAAACUGAAACUCAAGCCAUCACUGCCAGCCCUUCCUGAGCCAUCUCAGAUGAGCCUUGUCUCUGGGCCACAGCCAGAAUUGGCCUGGGCUGUUUCUCACUCCUAUUUCAAAGGAUUUGUGCUCCUAGCAGAGGAAAAGCUUGAACAUUUACAGUGAAAAAUUUAGUAGAAGGGGGAAGAAACAGAGGGUCUUUCUUUCUUUCUUUCUUUCUUUUUUCUUUCUUCUUUUCCUUCUUUUGUCUUAUCUUUUGGUUUUGGGGCAGUGAAAGAAAAUUAAUUUUUUAGCUAUAAAACUUUGUCUUAAGAUCAGUUUUGGAAAGAAAAGCAUCUACUAAUUGAAAACGUCACUUUUCGGGCCCUUAAGUCAAGGGAAACAGGUGCAAGUUUGUGGUUUUAGACACAGCAUUUCUUUUGGAAAAAAGUAGUAAAAGUACCCCAGAUAAGUUCUCUCCAAAGCUGGAUAGAUUUUUAUUUUUCAGCCCUUUAUUACAUAGAAGGUGACAGAUUAGCUGAAAAGUUAAAAGAAAAAUCAACUCUCACCCUUGUAGGUAACACUCCAAUCUCUCUCUCUCUUUUUUCUUUCCAAGGCUGAAGAGAGGGCAACUGUUUACUGCAAUUUUGAUAAAAUUCCCUUUCAAUACGGCCUGUUCCUGGAUAGAGUCCCACCUUUCAUCUGCUUUUAUUCCUAAUCCUGUGGCAAAGCCUGGACCUCCCUUUUCUUCUCAUACAAGCUCGACAGAGCUGGCAUUUUCCUUCUCCAUUUCAGUGACAUGUUUUUCAGUGUUUUGUCUGUUUGUGAAGGGGCAGAAAUGUCAAGGUCAAAAAAGUCUUGGAAAAAAUGAGUAGUAUUUCUGUACCUGCUGAGGGUUAGGUGCUUGGAUGUUAUAUAUCUCUGCAUUCCCACAGUAAAACCAUGUGUGGUUGGGGAGCUUUUCCUUUUUUAACCUCUCUGGGUGGUUGAGGAAUUGGAGGCUCAGAGAGGAGAAGUGACACAGCCCAAGGUGACGCCACCAGGAGCUGAACUUGAAAGCCAAGCCAAGUCCGUCUGACCAUCAAGCGUUGCUCCUAUAAUCAUACUACCUUGCCUUCUGCCUUUGUAAACAUGAGGUGACACAUCAAGCUAGGGCUAUUAAAAUACCCAGAAGCACUUUUCUUCCAAAUAACUCACAAUAUCUUGUCUUUGGGAAGUAUUCAAUAGGUUUAUUUCAGUAAAAGAUACACCAUUGCCAUGGUUUUAGGGAGUGAUUCUGAAUUUUAUGUUACUGAUUAAGAAAGAUGGUUAAUGGAACCUGUUUCCUUAAGAAAUUUACAUCAUAUAUUAGUAAGCUGUUGCUGUGUAGCAAAUCACACCAACACUUAGUGCCUUGAAGUAACAACAUGUAUUAUCUCACAAUUUCUGUAGGUGUGAAAACUGGACAUCAUUUAGCUGGGUCCUGUGCUUCAGGGUAUCUCACAGGCAGCACACAAGGCUUCAUCUGGGCUAUACUCAUCAGAAGGCUGGAUUGGGGAAGAUCUGCUUCCAAGUUUACUUACAUGGUUGUUGGUGGGAUUCAGUUCCUGGUAGGCUGCCAGCUUUAGCUCCUCAUUUCCUGAUGGCUGGAGGGUUCCCUCAGUUCCUUUCCAUGUGGGCCUCUCCAGCAUGGCUGCUUGCUUCAUCAAAGUGUACAAGAAGGGAGACAGCAAUAGGAACAUGUCAGCAAGAUGGAAUCCACAGUCUUUUUAAAGCUAACCAUGGAAGUGAUAUUCCAUCACUUUUGGUGUAUUCUGUUUGUUAGGAACAAGACACUAGGUCCAGCCCACCACUCAAGGUAUGGGAUUACACACGGCAUGAAUACUAUGGGGUGGGGAUCACUGGAAAUUAUGUCAGCAGCUAUCUGUCACACAUGAGAGAAGUGGAGAUGGUAGUCAUAAUAAUAGUCAUCAUCAUCAUAAUAAUAAGGCUGGUGAGGAUAGCCAGCAUUUAUUGGGUGUUCUUGAUGCAUCAGGCACUGGGCUAAAUCCCUUCUAUGCAUUGUCUCCUUUAAUCUCCUCAUCACUCUCAUUAACUUCCCUGAGUUACUACAGCAAAGAGAUUAGGACCAGACUCUGUUGUUUCCACUCCGAAGUCCAUCCCUUUACAUGAUGCAGAUCAUUGAUAAGAAUCCACUGAGCUGCUGAGGCUCCAGGAAAGACCUGAUUGAGAGAGGAGUCUGAUAAACGAAGCUGAACUCACUGCUCCUCAGAAAACUGCAAAUGAACACAACCAGAAGCCAUUUCUUACCCAUCAGAUUGGAAAAGAAAAUAGCAUUGAAAUCAUAUAGCAGCAUCAUCCAGACCUGCAGAAUCAUACGUGAUCAUAGCCAGUUCACACUGAAAAAAGCCUUGUAGGAGAUUCGCCAACCUAAUCAUUCAGCUUACAGGUGCCUGAAACAAAGAAAAGAAAUGCAGAUAAUUGGAUCUUCAUGACAUUUUCCCAACUGGCCACUUUCCCUGUAACAAGACCAAGCCUGUCUCUUCCAUUGUACUCUCGUGAGCUACCUGGGUCAGAACCUGAAAUCUUGGCGCAGAAGUCCUGUGGCCUGCCUAUAAACUUCUCAUUCCCGGCAGCUGGCACAUGCAUGGCCCAAUAAAUAUUUCUUGAUUGAAUGGAAGGAGCUGUGAAUAGUGGCCUCCUCAAGCAAAGGACAUUUUAUCUCCCAAAGGGAAAUCUACUUUGUUGAUAUGAAAGUGAGCUUCUUAAUAGGUCUACGGGGCAACAUUUUGCUAACCCCAUUCAAAUUAUAACAGACUUCAAAGUCAUAAAGGCAGUAAUAUGCUUCCUUUUAAGUGUGUAAUUUGUAUUUUUUUACACCCAGGAAUGGAAAACAGGGAGUGAAAUAUCCCCCAAUUAUUAUUUUGUGCUUUUGAGGCAGGAUGGCCCACUCACCUGUGGGGACUCUGGUGGCCAAGCACCUCCCACCUCAUUCUUGGCAAUUGUUUUCAUCUGCCUCCCUUCACACUGGCCCUAGCUCAGGUCUGGAAUCUUCCCAGGGUCUGACCUCUGAGUGUCUGUCUCAUGCAAUUCUGCUGCCCUGGUAUUGACUCUCAGGACACAGAAGUAUACUCUCUGCCACAUUCAUGACCACCCUGGGUGACGUGUCAAGGCAUCUUAGUGCAGCCCUGAGUCCCUUGGAGGGAAAUGGCCCCAGUCUGCUUCCUGUUUGAGGUAGCUCUGUUCUGGAUCACUUGGUCCUCCCCUCUCCCUCCUGCCACUGCUGAUUGCAUUGUGGUGAUCACCCCAAGGUCAUCCCAAAGGCAGGCUGCCGUGUAGAGCCUGGCUUGGCACAGGAGGCCCCAGCCAAUGAUCUCUGAUGCUGACCUCAUGCUCCAGGUGCCUGAAACAAAGAAAAGAAAUGCAGAUAAUUGGAUCUUCAUGACAAUUUCCCAACUGGCCACUUUCCCUGUAACAAGACCAAGCCUGUCUCUUCCAUAUGGGUCAGCCAUAUCCCACCCACUCCUCCUGGGAUUUGACUUGGGGAAUGUGGACAGAAUCACACAGUCAGUAGAAGUUGGAAAGUAGGCGGAAGUGGCCACAUGGGGUAGGGACAUAUCAGAGUUAUGAUGAAUCAGAAGCAGAAGCCCCAAGUUGAAGAAGAGAUACAAAGCUUGGAAGCAGGAAGAGAUGGAGCGGACACACAAAGGAAUCCAACACUGGAGAACGGCAACGUAAAGGUGGCGUGCUAGGGGAAAGCUCCAGAAUUCCUGCAGCUGGGCGCUGGAGCCACCCUGAACUUUCAAAGACCUCCCUAUUCCAGUCUCCACAAUCCCAGGUCCUGGUAUGUCCCUGGAUUUGGGGGGAGAUUCUGGCUCCUUUGUAGCACCACAAUAAACCCUUAUUGCCUGAGUUAUCCCAAGUGACUCCCUGUUCUUUAUGGGCUCACAAGCCAACACACC
rnacentral:lncRNA from 10 species